UACGGGGGGGGCAAGCGUUGUUCGGAAUUACUGGGCGUAAAGGGCCAGUAGGCGGCCAACUAAGUCCGACGUGAAAUCCCAAGGCUUAACCCUGGAAGUGCAUCCGAUACUGUGUGGCUUGAGUCCCGGAGAGGGUCGUGGAAUUCCCAGUGUAGAGGUGAAAUUCGUAGAUAUUGGGAGGAACACCAAUAGCGAAGGCAGCUCGCUGGGACGUUACUGACACUGAGGCGCGAAAGCGUGGGGAGCGAACAGG
rnacentral:rRNA from 1 species